rnacentral:snRNA from 1 species
UCGUGUACUGUGUAUCCUUGGU